rnacentral:rRNA from 1 species
AACGAACGCUGGCGGCAUGCCUAACACAUGCAAGUCGAACGAGACCUUCGGGUCUAGUGGCGCACGGGUGCGUAACGCGUGGGAACCUGCCCUUAGGUUCGGAAUAACUCCCCGAAAGGGGUGCUAAUACCGGAUAAUGUCUUCGGACCAAAGAUUUAUCGCCCUUGGAUGGGCCCGCGUUGGAUUAGCUAGUUGGUAGGGUAAAAGCCUACCAAGGCGACGAUCCAUAGCUGGUCUGAGGGGAUGAUCAGCCACACUGGGACUGAGACACGGCCCAGACUCCUACGGGAGGCAGCAGUGGGGAAUAUUGGACAAUGGGCGAAAGCCUGAUCCAGCAAUGCCGCGUGAGUGAUGAAGGCCUUAGGGUUGUAAAGCUCUUUUACCCGGGAUGAUAAUGACAGUACCGGGAGAAUAAGCUCCGGCUAACUCCGUG